GUGGCUUUAAGCCUCCUGACAGGCCGGUAGCCAGGGGGAGCUCAUCGGUCAGGGCUUAGGCACCCGGGUCAGAGCCUGGGCUAGGUGUGAUAUAGGAGUGGGAGUUUUAGUUUUAGUAUUCGCUUCCUUUUGCGGGCUAGCUCAUGGUUGUAGUGUUGUGGAGGCCUCAGGACCAUACGGGCUAGGGGCAUCGAGAAACCAGGAGGGGUGAGACCCCUAGGCAGAUUCCAGCCUUGGUAGUUUGGAUCCCUGGAAUAAGGACCACCGGGAGAUUCAGGACCGGAAACGCGGCAGGGCCGCUGGAGGAAGGCCACUAGAAGACCAGCAGCAGAAGGUGGCGAUUGGCCGGGGUGUAGGGGAGGUCGGAGCCCCGUGAGUGCCCACCGAAGGCGUGACGACCCCGGGAGGCGGCAUUAACGGAGACCCCCACCACUGAGGUUACAUUCAAAGUCAUGGCAGGCGAGGUUAGGGGUUCUCCCGUCACCACCUGAGGCACCUCCCGGGGCCCUCUCGUGAGCUCGUGGCCAGUGAGAACGGCCACUCGGGCUAGAGCAGCCCGAGAGCGCCUGGUCAAGCGGAGGCGGGCACAUAGUCAUACAAGUACUUAUUCAACUUCUUGCAUAGAUUUUGAAGAUCAUGUUGAGGACCUUGAUGCCACAGCUGAACCAUUAUCAGUAUCUGGACUAGUUUAAAGUAAACUCAGAUGUCUCCAUGCUACACAGUCGCUGUAGGAUAGGAACACCUUGACACCACCUGUGACUCCCUUGGUCACAACCCAGCAGCCACGGAGCACCCCACCGACACCCAGCACAGCCAGAGCGCCGCAGUCACGACGCGGUUACUAAAAUAAGGGAGCAGCUGCCAGAGAUGAAGACAUCUGGGAAAUGGAUGACGGAAUAACCUCAGGCAGCCAAUAAGGAGCCAGGAAAGGGAAAUAAAGAGGGGAGGAAACUUCCCAAGGGUGCCUUUGGGCACACACGUGUGAGGAGGAACUAGAAGGCAUGCACUCCUAAACGAAGUUGGUAAUUCUGGAGGGAAUCGAGACAUCCUUCCCUGGAUCGGGUCAUACCUGAAGCAGACAGCCUCGACCGUGAUUUAGAAAUGGAGCAGCAACGCGGAAACCCCCUCAGCUCCGAAGUCUCAGUGGGGGUGGAUUGCCACGAGCUAGGGGGGAGAAGAGGAAAGAAAGAGGCAGAGAGAAAAAGGGCAAAGAAGCUCCGACAUUGCCCUGUAGCCCGACCCCGCACAGGAGGGUGAAGGGGAAGCAGAGGCUCCAGAAAGUGAAAGGAAAGAGAAAGGAAAUUGACGAAGCCGUGCUUCUCAAGGUGGCACAAGCCACAGCCGGGGAAUCCCCGAUAGGUGUUAAUCAGCUGCUAAUUGCCUUGUUAGCAGCUGAUUAUUGAAGAACAAGCAAAGAAGAAGCCCUGCGGGGUUCCCAGACUGCAGGCAGUGAGUACCCCGGAGGCGAUCCCCGGGGCAUUCACACCUAACGUUAAUAAAGAACUGGCAAUUAAGACCUGACCCGCGUAUUCAUUACCGGGGUACCAGUAUAUAACAACUGUUCCUCCCGACCCAAAAAUUGAAUUUAGAUCAAGUCGUGGCAGGCGGGAAUCGGGGGAGCUACCAGAAAAAACAGGUACCCAGGACGGGCACGCUGACACUUAUGAUAGAGACACUGAUAGGCUUCCACAUUGUUUUAGAACUGUAGGUAUAUUAAUAAAACAUUGCACAACUGA